UCUGGAAAAUUGAUAAACAUAUUCUUACAACCCAUAGUAAACACUUUUAGGAAAUUCAUCUGUCAGUCUUUUUUCUGUGAUAUCUUCAGAUAAGCCAGAAGCUGAACUACAGCAAGUAACUAACCCUGCCAACCAACAAGAAGGAAAUGGAAAAGGCCAAAGAGCUGUCAGCCCUGGUUAUGGAGCCUGCUCUACUCUCAGCCUACAGACCAGUGCUAACUAGGAGGAAAGUGGAUUAAAAGAACAUUUGCAUGGUCAAGUACUGCUGUUGGACAGAAACCUGUGAGUGGCUAGGAAUGCUCAGAGCCCAAGAGGCCAAAGACUAAGAAACCAGCUGGAUCCUGGAAGAGCGAGGGGACCACUGCGCUGCCUCUGAGAGUCCUGGCUUGUAGCUGACCUUGAGUUGUGCUAACCUUACUAAAGAAAACAGAAGAAUGGAUGUGAAGGAGACCCCAGCCUGGUGGAAUAUAUAUGGUGAGAGAGAAGAAUGCUGUCCUGAACUUGGGCCUACAGAAAUCAAUGUCAUGGCUUGGCCCUCUAAAUCAGAAAAAUAUGCAUAUAAUGAUGUGACUAAGACAGCAGCAAGGACUACCAAGGGUGGGAUAAAGGUGGAUAUUGGUGGAUCUGAGAGUUCAAGACUGAGACAUUUGGGGAAGACCAAAAUGAAGAUUAAUUUUAGAUGUUUGCUUGUUGGAGCAAGAUAUCAUUCUGUAGUCCAGGUUGGCCUUGAAUUCCUGAUUCUCCUGCAUUAGUCUCUGGAGUACCAGGAUUAUAGACAUUUGUUACCAUACUCAGUUGAAUUCUAGGUUUGAUAAAUAAAUUCUAUACUUUAAAGUAUUCAUUAUGGAAGUUGAAUAAAUUCUAAUUCAUAGUUGGGUGAAAAAUAAUCAAAAUGGGUCAAGAAAGAAGGAAAAAUAUGACUCAUUUCUAAAAUUUCUAGACAGAGUGCAAAGAUGGCAAAAACAUGGUGAAAUAUAGUAAAAUUACAAUAAAUGCAAAUGGACCGAUGGCCUAGCUAAGAAUAAGGUCACAAGCAAGGUACUUGGAGACAGGAUCUCACUAUGUAGCCCUGAUGGCCCAGAAUUUAGCAUGUAGCCCAGGAUGCCCUUAAAUUUACAGAGCUCCACCUGCCUCUGCAUCCAAGUGAUGGAAUUAAAGGGGUGUGCCACCACGCCCAGAGUCAGCAAUGUUUUUAAAGAUGCAGAUACAGCUGUACACAGCACAGCAAUGGUGGAAUUGUAAAAGCCCAUAGCCUGGUACUACUAUAGCUACUGUCAUAGAGGUUCACUUUAUGGUAUUUGCACGGCAAAACAGCCUAACGACAUACAUCUUUGGAACAUAUGCCCCUUGUUAAAUAAUGUGUGACUUCAUAAAAGGACAAGGAAUUCAGACAGCCAUAAGCAGAAAGCAGCUGGGUAGCUCACUGGUGCUGGCAGAAUCCCUCCUUACACAGUCAAGGGGACUCCAGAAUUAUCCCAUGGCCCCACAGAACAGAGAGUAAAGAGCCAGACUUCAAAAGAGAGACGAGAUUUACAACUGUGAUGGCAGGAGGCUGUGACCCAGCUACCCGGGACCCAUCUGGGGGUGUACAGAAUGCUGUUCUUCGGGAGCAAGACACUGCUUCUUUCAGCAGUUCGUGGAGCAUUUCUGAAACUGACCACAUACCAGGGUAGAAAGUGAGUUCCCAACAAAUGUCAGAAGACUGACGCUACCCCACCAAGUUCUCUCCCAAAUGAAAGACAAAAAGAAUGAACUCAGCCAAAAAGAAGACAACAAAUAAAAGGCCUCCCAGUAAAGAAGCUGACAGCAAACUGAGAAGACAGGGUCUGAAUCAGUCUUCUGCUAGCAUGGGAGAAAGUCAAAUGAAAGAGAUGUAUUGUACCCAAAAAGCAGCAGCAGUAUCAAGCAGACACAGCACCCAUGGGAGUCCCUAAGAACUUGGCACAGGAAUCACAGUAAGCUGACCUGGAUGAAGCUAGAGCAUCUCCUCCCUGCUGUUGAAGAAACAUCACCAGCAUGGCUGACUGGAUUCCUUUUGAGUGCUUUUUGUUUUGUUUUAAUAUUUUUGAAAUGUUUAUUAUUUUUAUUCCAUGUGUAUGAAUGUUUUCCUAAAUGAGUACCACACCCAUGCAGUGUCUAUGGAGGUCAGAAGAGGGCAUCAGAUCCCCUGAGACUGGAGUUACAGACAGUUGUCAGCUGCCAUGUGGGUGCUGGGAAUUGAACCUGGGUCCUCUGGAAGAGCUGCUGAGCUGUCUCUCCAACACCUGCCACCCCCACUGACACUUCCCUUGAUCACAAAUUUAAGGUAGCUUUGGAGCCUGUCCUGGAACUACUCUUGAAGAGCAAGUUGCCCUCAGACUCACAGAGAUCCGCCUGCCUCUGCCUCCUGAGUGCUGGGAUUAAAGGUGCGUGCCGCCACUACCUGACAACAUGUCCAUUUCUAUUGAACUAUUUUCAAGAGCAUUCAAAUACAUUCUAGCAUUGUUCUUUUUA